rnacentral:rRNA from 1 species
UACGGAGGAUGCGAGCGUUAUCCGGAUUUAUUGGGUUUAAAGGGUGCGUAGGCGGACGCUUAAGUCAGCGGUAAAAUUGCGGGGCUCAACCUCGUCGAGCCGUUGAAACUGGGUGCCUUGAGUGGGCGAGAAGUAUGCGGAAUGCGUGGUGUAGCGGUGAAAUGCAUAGAUAUCACGCAGAACUCCGAUUGCGAAGGCAGCAUACCGGCGCCCUACUGACGCUGAGGCACGAAAGCGUGGGUAUCGAGCAGG